CCCUAUUCGCCUCCGGCCUCGCCGUCUUGCUUCUACUAGUCCAAGGAUCGCCGCCAGGGCCCGUUGUCCAGUGCCGGUCCGGCAACACUAACUGCACCGUGACCAACGGCUAUGGAGCCUUUCCUGAUCGCAGCACCUGCUGCGUCGCCGCGGUCGCGUACCCUUCCACCGAACUGGAGCUCCUGUUAGCUGUCUCCGACGCCACCGAGAAGCAGCAGCACAUGAAGGCUGUCACGAUGUACUCCCACAGCAUCCCCAAGCUGUCGUGCCCCGGAGGGCCGAGCGGCCAGGGCCUGGUCAUUAGCACCCAGCGCCUCAACCGAUCGGUGAGCGUGGACAUGGCCACCUCGCGGAUGACGUUCGAAGCAGGGAUCACACUUAGGGAGCUCCUUGACGCGGCGGCCGCCCGUGGCCUGGCGCUACCCCACUCGCCGUACUGGCAAGGGAUGACGCUCGGCGGCCUGCUGAGCACCGGCUCCCAUGGGAGCUCGGUGUUCGGGAAGGGCUCGGCGGUGCACGAAUAUGUGGUAGGGAUGAGGCUGGUGGUUCCAAGUCCGGCCCCGGUGAACGGAUACUACGCCAAGAUCGUUAAUCUUGGUGAGGAUGAUCCUGAUCUCUUGGCUGCCAAGGUUUCUCUCGGUGUUCUUGGAGUCAUUUCUCAGGUAUGUGUGUGGUGACCUACGUGUUAUUCUUUGUUCUUUACACGGAUUGAGAUCCAUGUGAUAACUCAUCUUAGUUCUUCAUGGUGGUUCUUCCAACCACGUCAAGUACUUUCAUAAGCUGAGUGUACAAGAUUUGCCACGUUUCGAUGCUAAUUAGGUGCAACUAUAUCUUUAAUUCUUCAUGAUAUAAUAGAGAUCAUCCUACUGUUAUUAGCAACGCUGAAUACAUCCUAUCGUCAGUAAAAUGUCGAGACAGAAAAAAAAAACUUGAUUUCUAUCAAAUCACUUUACAAAGGAAGACUUGUUCUUUUCCUUGAAUCUAGAAAGUUACGUAAAUAAUAGGCUUUUGAUGAUCGCAGUGGACUUUACUUUUAAUCUUUCCUUCUUUUCUUGCUUUGCUUGUCUUCCUUGUUUCAAAAUGGGCUGAUGCAAACCUUUGAACCGUUCUAAUGAUUCCAUGUACCUUCCCUCGUCGUUUAUCGUAACUACACAACAUACUUGAGUGUUAUGGAACAUAUGAGCACAUGCAAACCCACAGAGACAAAGAUCAGAGAAAAAGCAACCAUUGCAAUAACAGCUACAGUGACGUUGAUGAUGACUCGGUGUAAAUGAGAGUGCCCCUUCCUUCACAUAUGGAGCCUCGAGCAGGGCAAGAGGCAGGCAGGUCCAUGCUGCCUUGCCUUGCAGAGCUUACGACCGGGCCCACUAAUUGCCUUAAAAGCCUCAGUAACAAUUAUUAGGUUGAAGGACGAUAGGGGAUGUCAGUAGUUGUAGUUCUUGUUUCAAUCUUUUUGCCUGAAUAGCUGAAAAGAGUUGACUAGCGAUACAUGUAAGCUUUUGUUCUUCUGCUUCAUUAUAAGUAACCUAAGAAUUACUUGAACCGAUCGAGCAGGUCACCCUCCAACUUGAGCCAAUGUUCAAGCGAUCCAUCACCAACAGGGUCGUAAGCGACGUUGGCUUCGAGCAAACCAUCUCCUCGUACGCUGUCACUACAUACUAUGGAGACAUCAGCUGGUAUCCGUCACAACGCAGAGUGGUGUACCGAGAUGAUAUCAAGGUCCCCAUCACCACCGAAGGAAAGGGUGUAAACGACUACUUAGGGUUCCGAGCGCAGCCCACCCACGUCGGAGCCUCUCUACGUGCUUCAGGUCUUAUAAAUUGCAGCUUUUAUUUUGCUUGUCAAACUUAAUGUAGUGUUCGAGCAGUAUUAUGCACACAUUUACAUCGACAUUUCGUCCGAGAUUUGUACUAAGAAGGCUUCUUUUGUCCUCUACCAUGUGUUUGUGUCUGUGAAUGCAGAGGAACGAGUGGAGGCAACGGGAAAUGCGGAAGGCAAAUGUGUGCUGUUCAGAUUGCAAGUUGAUACUUUGAUUGCGACCGGCAUGGGCCUUAAGAACAAUGACGGCGGCUUGUUAGAAUUCACCGGCUAUCCGGUCGUUGGAAACCAAAGCGACAUGCAAUCCUCCGGUAGGUCCUCCAAUUAUCCGAAGAAUGUAUAUGAUGACACAUGUUACACCUGUAUUAUAUAUUAUAUGGUCUGAGCCAAAUUCACUCCUGUAUUCUGUAUUAGUCUGAACCAUCUUCUCUCCAGGUUCGUGCCUAAGAAGUGCAGAAGACAACCUUCUCACGGCCUGUGGAUGGGACCCUCGCUUUGCUGGGUCCUUCUACCACGAAACCGCGAUAAGUAUCCCCUUCACCACCGUUGCAGACUUCAUCGCCGACGUCAAGAAGCUCCGCGACGCCCACCCCAACUCGCUCUGCGGCACCGAGCUGUCCUUGGGCUUCUUCAUUCGCUUCCUCCGCAACUCCACGGCCUAUCUUGGCAAAACGGACGACGUGGUGGAGAUCGACAUCACAUACUACCGUUCCAGGGAUCCAAAACGGCCGCGACUCUAUGAGGAUGUGCUCGAGGAGAUCGAACAGAUGGCCUUGUUCAAGUACAAUGGGCUGCCGCACUGGGGGAAGAACAGAAAUGUCGGCUUCCUCAAUGUCAAGAACAAGCUGGGGGCUAAGUUGGCCAAGUUUGUGAGUGUGAUGCAGAAGUAUGACAGCAAUGGAUUGUUCUCUUCAGACUGGACCGAUGCGGUGCUGGGACUGCGAGGGAAGGAAGUUGUGGUGCAGGGAGAUGGAUGUGCACUGGAGGGGCUGUGCAUUUGCUCCACUGACGACCACUGCGCUCCUAAACUAGGCUAUUUUUGUCGACCUGGAGAAGUCUAUGAACAGGCUCGAGUUUGCCGGAAGAUAAAAUCCGUGGAAGCUGAUGGUUUGGCAUGGAGCGCAUGAUACCAUUCACAUUCAUUUGCUGUGCGGUUUAUUUCUGUGUCACUUCCUCUUCGAAUAAAGGUUGUAAUGUCAGUCAAUAAUUACUACAUAGUUUAAUGAUGAUUAAUGAUAAUAACCUGCGACACACGUAAAUGUUCUGAUUAAUUUUACAUAAAUUACACUUGACCCACGUUUCGUGACACAAAUGACAUGGUAGUUCACACCGAAACUACUGCUCUCUAUAAAUUACUCAACGGCGCAGCAUCCAAUCUUCUGUUUGUUCCUUUCUCAUCCUCGCAGUAUAAUUUGGAGAUAGGAAGUGGUCGCACCAUGAGCGAGGGAAACAGCAGCGAGAGCAAGCUGACCCCGUACAUCAGGCCCCCGACCGGGCCGCUGUGGCAUGCCCGGGACUUGUACGAGAGCAGCAAGGCGCAGAGUGGCACCGUCAUCGCGCUGUCUCGCGCCUAUGGCUUUGGGCAGUGCUCGCGGACGAGCAGCAGCGAGGAAGAGAUCAACGACCUCAUCGGCGCCGCUUGCAAGAGCAUGAUGCGGGCCAUCCUGGUGAAGGAGGAUGGGCUGGUGCCAAGGAGCCACCGAGUGGCGACGUUGAGGAUAGACGAUGACAAGCCGUGUGACUUCGAGGACGACCAAGAGGAACGAUGCCAAGGAGCUGUAGCUACGAUGUUGCCACCAAGAGGAACGUGGGCUUCUAAUAAGCUUCAAGUUAGAUUGUGCGGUGAUCAACACGAACAGUAAACAUCCGAGCUUAUAUAUUGUACUGCUUUCGAGGGAGGAAAUAAGCAUUUCGUUGAGCCGUUGUCAUUCUUUUGGAACCAAAACUUAUUAGGAGAGAAAUCGAAUAGUGAAUACAGAAGAAGAUAUUCUUCACUUCUUUUGUGAAGCUUUGUUGUAUUUUACCUACUCACCAUGUAUUUUACACAAAAUAACUAGUUUUAGAUCGGGCAUGACAUCCUGAAGGAAUGAUUGUUUAAUAGACUACAAUGUUUAUUUAUGCGAGGAUUUGGCAUGCUUUUCUCAUCUUAAAAAAAGGAAAUGUUAAAUUUCUAAAAAAAGACCUCCUAACUUUAAAUUAUCAAAUAACGCUCUGAGAAAUUUUUUUAGAGUAUUUUUUUCUUAAACAAUCAUUCUAUCCAUUGUCAACUCUAUCCAUGCAUUGUUAUUAUUGUAUUUACAUGUGGCCCUCGCAUAAGGAAGGAAGGGGUGCAAGAGUUGUCACCUCCUUCCUGCACCACCUCUCCUCCUCUUGUCAUGCUGGAUUUGUUACUUAUAGGCCUCACUCGAGGAAAGAGAGGGUACGAGAGCCAUUGCCACUUAUGCGGACCCCACCAACUCUAUCCUAGCGCCUCGAUCACAACUUUCAUAUGAGAAAGGAGGGGACGUGAGGGCCGUCAUCGUUUCUGUGGACCUUACUAGCCCUAGGACCUUGCUAGACUCUAUUGGACUUGUUGCCCGUAGCCCUUACACAAGGAAAGAAGGGUUGUGAGGGUCGACGCCACCACCAUCUUCACAGACCACUACGACCCUGCUUAUAUGCACUUCACUCGUAACCCUUGUGCAAGGAAGAAGGUGGCACAUGUGCUAUCGUUGCCUUUGUGGAACCUAUUAGUCUCCGUCAAACCUGUUGUCACUCUGCACCACCCCCCCUUUCCUCGCACGAGGGCCAUAGUGUGCAAGGGUUGUGAGUGACAGAUUAUAUGAAGUAGAGGAGAGGAUAGGUAGUGCAUGGAGUAAGGGCACAAGUGAUUAUAGAGGGAGGAGGAGAUAACUAUAGGUCUAAUAGAAAUAGAGAUAAAAUAAUAUUUUUAUAUAAUCAAGAUACUCUAUGAAUUUCUUAAAGUUAAAAGGCUCUGUAAAAAAUUCAUAAUGUUAAAUCUAAAAAAAAAAUAAGGAUUUGACGUGCGUCCGACAAGCCUCCUUCCUGGAGAGGAUCAACACACAGCUAGUUAGUAGGGGAUUCAGUAACUUUCCUUUUUUUUUCCCUUUAAAAAUAUGAAGUUUCAUAACUUAUCAAAAAGAGGUCCAAAUUGUACAUUUAUACCAAUAAAUUUGAAUACUACAAGUUUUUCUCUUGCAACUAAUACACACACAUAUACUACAGUUUUGCCCCAUACAAAUCGAAUAACAAUGAGUAUAGUUUUGACCCUUCCAUGUAUAGAAAUUAAAUAAAAAUUAGUUUGAUUCAAUUCAAAGAGUUAAGUUUCUAUAUUGUGGACCAAAUUAAGUAUAUAUAAUCAGACUCUUUUAAUUCUUAAUUAUACUAGAUUAUCCUCUUAGUUUAUUUUAUUUCAAUUUAGACAUGAAUAUUUUCAUUACAAUGUGAAUAAUAAAAAUAUCUUAAAAGUGAAGUCAUAUUUGGUUCUUUAUUAGACCUUACUUUUCAACUUUUGUAACGAUCCAACCAAUGACCUCAUUAUUGGCCAUGAAUGAAAUCUUGAAUUCUAAUUUUUAAGUAAAAUGUAACUUAUGAUAUUUUAGAUUAAUACAAGUUAACAAUUAUUAACUAUCAUUAGUUAUGAUUGAUUAAAAAUUGAAAUGUAGUAAUAGAAUAUGAUAUUACAAAAUGUUCACAUCAUAUUUCUUUCUUAAAAAAUAAUCUUGUUUAUACCAAACUCGAAUUCAAAAUCUCAUCUGAUAUAUUUUGAAGAUAUCAUCUAAUUUAGUUGGUGUUAGUGUAGAUUUUGAUUAUAUGAGCUAGGAUAAUUCUUCAAAUUGAAUCAAAGUCUAUUCCAAACCAAUCUCACUUCACAUCACUAUUAAUAAAGCACCAAACUUGUAAAACUAGGUCAAGAGGUAUUCUUGACAAAUAUUCCUUCAAUAAUCAAUUGAAUUCUUAGGUUUGGACUGGCUGAUGAAUAUUGAAGUGAAAUCAUAUCUUAAGAGUACAUGAGAGUCCUUUUUAUGGGUGAUACUAAGGAUGAUUAUUCCUAGAAUCACCGAUCACUUAGGCUAGUCGAUCACGAGUUCAAAUUAUCUAUCAUUUGGCCACAUAUCACCCCUUUAUGAGUAUAUAUCUUACUACCUGACCAUCAUCUGUCAAACGCGUGUGAUCCCCAUGCUCUUUGAUAAUCGACCCAUUGGCUUCUUGGCCACGUGUCGCAUUGUGGCAAUGUUGUAUUUGACAUGUCACUUGUCACCUAUCACUAGCCCCCCAUUUCUAAGUUGAUAGAUUAUAGGGCUAUAGAGCUAAGAAGUGCUCUGGCCUAUGAUUUUUACACUGAUAGCGAGUUUGUUCAUCAUCGUUUUGACAUAUGUCAUUGGAAUGCAUGUUGUGUCCAUUAAAGCUAUUCUAUCCAUUCAGUGUGUUUGACGCAUUCAGUCCAUUUGACCCAUUCCGUUGGUUAGGGUCGUUCAGCUCGUUCAAUCAAUUUGACAUGUUAGGCUUUUUAGGAUUUAACCUAGAUGGUACCACGAAGUUUUCUUAAGAUAUCUUAGUUGCCCUCUCUCUAACGCUAAUAUAUUAGUAUAAAUUUUAAUUGUCUGAAUUGAGAUGAUAACUUAGAUCCAACUGAGAUUCAUUGCAAGUUAGUCUUACUCUAGGAAACCUACAAAUGCCCCAUCGUAGAUCAAGUCAGACUUGUUGGCCAAUAAUAAAGUCAAGUUGGAUCCUCGAAGUGUACCUAGAGUCCCUUUUAUUAGUAACUCUGAGAAUGAUUAUGUCCGGAAUCAUUGAUGGUAAGAGAGGAAUAUGUGCCACAUUCAGACUGAGACUUGGCAUGAUAUUCAUCGAACCUUGUGUUCACAUAGGUUGGUUGUGCUAAUCAUGGGUUUGGACGAUCGACUAUUCAUCCACGUAUUAUCUCAUGCUGAGUGUGCAUCUCAUGAUUCCAUCAUCACCUAUCUAUCACAUAUGAUCCUCAUGCUCUUUGGUUGUCAACCUUGUGGCCAUGUGUCACUACACGGUGAUGUUAUAUUCGAUAUAUUACUCUUUAUGCUGAAAAAAAAUUUGAUAGUUGAUCACUAGACUCAAAAUUCUACAUUCGUUAGUGGUGCGUUGGCCAUGUCUCGCCGCAUGAUAGUGUUAUAUUCAAUGUCACACCCUUCACCUGUCAGAUAAAGACUUUAAUAGUUCCUCCCAAAAUUUUAGACUUAAAUUCCACAUUAAUCACUUAUUCUCAAAAAAAAAAUCUGGUUAAGAUCGCAACCACUGCUUCGGUUACAAUUAUCCCUUCUAUUUUUAUAACAGAACAAAUAGGGUAAACAGUGUGCGAGUCGAUCAGUCGGUGGACUGCCUUCAUUCCACCGACUUACACCAUCAUGAGAUCCUCUUAAUUUUCAAAUUAUAAUAAUUAUAAUUUAAAAAAUAUGAAUAACAUUAAAUAAAAAUAAACAAAAAAAUCAGCCAUAACGCGUAAAGGUCAAAGUCAAAGUACCCAUGACCCAUGGACUGGGACACGUGGAGGCAAGAAAGCAUCACAACAGACUCGAGAACGAGCCCACUCGAUUGGACCAUUCAGGGCGGGAUUAAUUGAAAGAAACAACGAGCGAGACAGUCAGCAGGUCCACUAAACUGGAAGCAUUCUUCAUGCUUUGAAAUCAAAACAUGAGUCUAACAUGAUCAACCAAAUUGGACUCAACACUUGUGAUCGAGAAGAAUAGGGUGCCGCCAUGUUCGUACAAGUAAAUGGUUGAUGUGAUCCGGGAGAGAGCAAGGCAUAUAAAUGCUUCAUAACAAGGGAACGUCUCUUACAAGUUCUCCAUUGACAGGUUCUCUUCCUGCUUAGAAUUGGUCCAAUGUUUUCCGGCUUCCACAUACCUCAGGAAAUUGAGUAAAGAACUCUAUUUAAGCGACUUCAAGUCGGCACGACUCUCUUCGCAUCCAAUGUUAAUGUAGCGCUAUGAGCAAGGGAAGCAGAAGAGGGAACAAGCUGAUGCGGUACAUCAAGGCCCCUUAUCGAGCACUGCUUCGUGCCCGGGACUUGUACGUGAACAGCAUGGCCGGAUGCGCCGGCAGGGCCCAGCGCGGGCCGACGAUCAUCGCGAUGCCACGCGCCCAGAGCCGCAGCUUCCACCGCCCGCAAAUGAGCAGCGGCGAGGACGACAUCAACGAGCUCAUCCGCGCUGCGUCGAGGAGCAGGCUGCGGUCCGUCGAGGGAGCGGCGGUUCCGAGGAGUCACAGCGUGGCGGGGAUGACGAUUGACGAGGACAAGCCAUGCAACUUUGAGGGCGACGUCAAGGUGGCCUUGGGCCCGAGGAGCCGGAGCUGCGACGUCGUCUCCAAGAGGAGGGCGGGGUUUACAACAAACGCCGUAAGCAGCAUCCGAAGCUUCUAAUACCAAGAGUGGAAGCACCAAAUGCAGCAAUUCCAUGUCGUUGUGGUUUCUAUUACUCGUGUUCGUGAACUCGAUUCGAUACUUUCUCUCCUCUUCUUCUCCUGUCAUGUUUCUGUUCACUCGUGAAUGUUUGGGCUGCCUGCUUACCUCAUUCCAUCUACACGAACGGAAUGUUCAUAUGGCAUCUCGGUAUCAUUUCCCUCAAAAUUUGAGCCUACAUUUGAAGCAUUUUCAUUAUAUAUAUAUAUAUAUAUAUAUAUAUAUAUAUAUAUAUAUAUAUAUAUAUAUAUAUANNNNNNNNNNNNNNNNNNNNNNNNNNNNNNNNNNNNNNNNNNNNNNNNNNNNNNNNNNNNNNNNNNNNNNNNNNNNNNNNNNNNNNNNNNNNNNNNNNNNNNNNNNNNNNNNNNNNNNNNNNNNNNNNNNNNNNNNNNNNNNNNNNNNNNNNNNNNNNNNNNNNNNNNNNNNNNNNNNNNNNNNNNNNNNNNNNNNNNNNNNNNNNNNNNNNNNNNNNNNNNNNNNNNNNNNNNNNNNNNNNNNNNNNNNNNNNNNNNNNNNNNNNNNNNNNNNNNNNNNNNNNNNNNNNNNNNNNNNNNNNNNNNNNNNNNNNNNNNNNNNNNNNNNNNNNNNNNNNNNNNNNNNNNNNNNNNNNNNNNNNNNNNNNNNNNNNNNNNNNNNNNNNNNNNNNNNNNNNNNNNNNNNNNNNNNNNNNNNNNNNNNNNNNNNNNNNNNNNNNNNNNNNNNNNNNNNNNNNNNNNNNNNNNNNNNNNNNNNNNNNNNNNNNNNNNNNNNNNNNNNNNNNNNNNNNNNNNNNNNNNNNNNNNNNNNNNNNNNNNNNNNNNNNNNNNNNNNNNNNNNNNNNNNNNNNNNNNNNNNNUUUCCUUACAAUAAUAAUAAUGAUAAGAACCUUGCGUCCCAAGUAGGCUCACGUGAUUGACAUAAAUGACUCAAAUUGGGAACGGAUGAAAACUCCUCCUAUUGCAUGUUCAUGAAUCAGAUAUGGAUGAUAUGGCACCACUUUUCCAUUGCCGUCCCACGCACAUCAUCCACGGUUUCCACAGAGACUGGUAGAAGUAAAAUUGCCAACUCAUCUACCUCCCUCUAUCAAUAUAUAUUAUCUAAUCACGUUCUUGCAUCACGUGUUCUGCGACCAUCAACCGGAGACUUUGACAAUUAUGAACCAUUCCAACACGUCUAAAUACACGUAAGAUUCAUCGGGAUGGCAUAAUCUCUUGUUAAGUCAACGGGCUUUACCUCCCUUCUUUUAUAUGAAUUUUUUUCUGACUACUAAUUAUUAUGUAAAUAGUGAUCAAGAUAUCGAAUGCACCUAUAUAUACAUUACAUACCCAUACCCAGACCAACUCUGAACAGCCAUCAUGGCCGCCACCCACAUUGCCCUGUUCGCAUCCGGCCUCGCCGUCUUGCUUCUCCUAGUCCAAGGAUCGCCGCCAGGGCCCGUUGUCCGGUGCCGGUCCGGCAACACUAACUGCACCGUGACCAACGGCUAUGGAGCCUUUCCUGAUCGCAGCACCUGCCGCGUCGCCGCGGUCGCGUACCCUUCGACCGAACAGGAGCUCCUGUUAGCUGUCUCCGACGCCACCGAGAAGCAGCAGCACAUGAAGGCUGUCACGAUGUACUCCCACAGCAUCCCCAAGCUGUCGUGCCCCGGCGGGCCGAGCGGCCAGGGCCUGGUCAUUAGCACCCAGCUCCUCAACAGAUCGGUGAGCGUGGACAUGGCCACCUCGCGGAUGACGUUCGAGGCAGGGAUCACACUUAGGGCGCUCCUUGACGCGGCGGCCGCCCGUGGCCUGGCGCUACCCCACUCGCCGUACUGGCAAGGGAUCACGCUCGGCGGGCUGCUGAGCACCGGUUCGCAUGGGAGCUCGGUGUUCGGGAAGGGCUCGGCGGUGCACGAAUAUGUGGUAGGGAUGAGGCUGGUGGUUCCAAGUCCGGUACCGGUGAACGGGUACUACGCCAAGAUCGUUAAUCUUGGUGAGGAUAAUCCUGAUCUCUUGGCUGCCAAGGUUUCUCUCGGUGUUCUUGGAGUCAUUUCUCAGGUAUGUGUGUGGUGACCUACGUGUUGUUCUUUGUUCUUUACACGGUUUGAGAUCCAUGUGAUAACUCAUCUUAGUUCUUCAUGGUGGUUCUUCCAACCACGUCAAGUGCUUUCAUAAGCUGAGUACAUGACUCGCCACGUCUCGAUGCUAAUUAGGUGCAACUAUAUCUUUAAUUCUUCAUGAUAUAAUAGAGAUCAUCCUACUGUUAUUAGCAACGCUGAAUACAUCCUAUCGUCAGCAAAAUGUCGAGACAGAAAAAAAGAACUUGUUUUCUAUCAAAUCACUUUACAAAGGAAGACUUGUUCUUUUCCUCGAAUCUAGAAAGUUACGUAAAUAAUAGGCUGUUGAUGAUCCCAGUGGACUUUACUUUUAAUCUUUCCUUCUUUUCUUGCUUUGCUUGUCUUCCUUGUUUCAAAAAGGGCUGAUGCAAACCGUUGAACCGUUCUAAUGAUUCCAUGUACCUUCCCUCGUCGUUUAUCGUAACUACACAACAUAAUUGAGUGUUAUGGAACAUAUGAGCACAUGCAAACCCACAUAGACAAAGAUCAGAGAAAAAGCAAACUUUGCAAUAACAGCUACAGUGACGUUGAUGAUGACUCGGGGUAAAUGAGAGUGCCCCUUCCUUCACAUAUGGAGCCUCGCGCAAGGCAAGAGGCAGGCAGGUCCAUGCUGCCUUGCCUUGCAGAGCUUACGACCGGGCCCGCUAAUUGCCUUAAAAGCCUCAGUAACAAUUAUUAGGUUGAAGGACGAUAGGGGAUGUCAGUAGUAGUAGUUCUUGUUUCAGUCUUAUUGCCUGAAUAGCUGAAAAGAGUUGACUUGCAAUACAUGUAAGCUUUUGUUCUUCUGCUUCAUUAUAAGUAACCUAAGAAUUACUUGAACCGAUCGCGCAGGUCACCCUCCAACUUGAGCCAAUGUUCAAGCGAUCCAUCACCAACAGGGUCGUAAGCGACGUUGGCUUCGAGCAAACCAUCUCCUCGUACGCUGCCGCUACAUACUAUGGGGACAUCAGCUGGUAUCCGUCACAACGCAGAGUGGUGUACCGAGAUGAUAUCAAGGUCCCCAUCACCACCAAAGGAAAGGGUGUCAACGACUACUUAGGGUUCCGAGCUCAGCCCACCCUUGUCGUAGCCUCUCUACGUGCUUCAGGUCUUAUAAAUUGCAGUUUUUAUUUUGCUUGUCAAUCUUGAUGUAGUGUUCGAGAAGUAUUGUGAACACAUUUACAUCGACAUUUCGUCCGAGAUUUAUACUAAGAAGGCAUCUUUUGUCCUCUACCAUGUGUUUGUGUCAAUGACUGCAGAGGAACUAUUGGAAGCAACGGGAAAUGCGGAAGGCAAAUGUGUGCUGUUCAGAUUGCAAGUAGAUACUUUGAUUGCGAUCGGCAUGGGCUUUAAGAACAAUGACGGCGGCUUGUUAGAAUUCACUGGCUAUCCGGUCAUUGGAAACCAAAGCGACAUGCAAUCCGCUGGUAGGUUCUCAAAUUAUCCGAGGAAUGUCUGCAUGUAUGAAUGAUAACUCUUGACGAUAAUGCUUCAUCACAAUAAUGACACAUGUAAUGCCCGGAUUUAUUUAGUUUGAGUCAUCUUCUCUCCAGGUUCAUGCCUAAGGAGUGCAGAAGACAACCUUCUUACAGCCUGUGGCUGGGACCCUCGUUUUGCGGGGCUCUUCUACCACCAAACCACGAUAAGCAUCCCCUUCACCACCAUCGCUGGCUUCAUCGCCGACGUCAAGAAGCUCCGCGACGCCCAUCCCGACGCACUCUGCAGCACCGAGCUGUACUUGGGCUUCUUCAUGCGCUUCGUCCGCAACUCCACAGCUUAUCUUGGCAAAACCGACGACGUGGUGGACAUCGACAUCACAUACUAUCGUUCCAAGGAUCCAAAAAAGCCGCGACUCUACGAGGAUGUGCUCGAGGAGAUCGAACAGAUGGCCUUGUUCAAGUACAAUGCGCUGCCGCACUGGGGGAAGAAUAGAAAUGUCGGCUUCCUCAAUGUCAAGAACAAGCUGGGGGCUAAGUUGGACAAGUUUGUGAGUGUGAUGCAGAAGUAUGACAGCAAUGGAUUGUUCUCUUCAGACUGGACCGAUGCGGUACUGGGACUGCGAGGGAAGGAAGUUGUGGUGCAGGGUGAUGGUUGUGCACUGGAGGGGCUGUGCAUUUGCUCCACUGAUGACCACUGCGCUCCUAAACAAGGCUAUUAUUGUCGACCUGGAGAAGUCUACGAACAGGCUCGAGUGUGCAGGAAGAUUAAAUCCGUGGAAGCUGAUGGUUAGGUUUAUUUCUGUGUCGCUUCCUCUUCGAAUAAAGGAUGUAAUGUCAGUCAAUAAUUACUACAUAGUUUAUUAUUGUAAUAUUAAAGCAAGCGUCGAUAAAUGCAAUAUUGUAUGGGAGGCAGAUUGCAUUCCUCCUGAUUUAUCUGUGCAACUCCAAGAUGACUUAUGCAAGUCAUUCUAUAGAACUAUAAUGUGUUAAUAAAUUUCUUUUGGGCAAAAAAAUUAGGACAUAAUUUCUCAUUGUUUUUAAUUGCAAGAUCCCAUUGUGAAGGAAAGGAACACUCUCCAGUAUCCGUUGCAUGAAAGGGACGAGGAAGCAAGAAAUAACAGUGCCAUUAUUAAUGCCAUCGUGUGGAGAGACGUAGUAUGUUAACGCGAUAUUCUUCGCUAUCAUUCCUUAAAAUAAGAAUGAUGAUUAAUGAUAAUAACCUGCGACUCACGUAAACGUUCUGAUUAAUUUUACAUUAAUCACACUUGAACCACGUUUCGUGACACAAAUGACAUGGUAGUUCACACCGGUUGCAUUUCAAAUUUUUGACUCAAAGCUCGUCCUAUGGAUCGCGAGAAUAAACCAUAUGGUAAGAAGCUACGUAAAUAUGGAAAUCACAAAGAAUGGUGAUUACUGUAAUUAAGCCUUCCUCGAUCCCCCCCAACCCCAAGAAACUACUGCUCUCUCUAAAUAACUCUACGGCGCAGCAUCCAAUCUCCUUUUUGUUCCUUUCUCAUCCUCGUAAUAUAAUUUAGAGAUAGGAAGUGGUCGCGCCAUGAGCAAGGGAAACAGCAGCGAGAGCAAGCUGAGCCAGUGCAUCAAGGCCCCCGACCUGGCUCUGCGACAUACCCGGGACUUGUGCGAGAGCAGCAUGGCCGGGACUGAUAAUAUAUGUAUACACGAUAAUCUCAUGUAAGCUCGUUCAUCUACACCAAAUACUAGUUUUAGAUCGGGCAUGACAUCCUGAAGGAAUGAUUGUUUAAUUGACGACAGUGUUUAUUUACGUGUGGAUUUGACGUGCUUGUUUCCAUCUUUAAAAAGGAAAAUUCAAAUUCUUUUAAAAAAAAACUGUCAACUUAAUUUUUCAAAUAGCUCUUCAAAAAAUUCUCAUUGAGUAUUUUUUUUUUUCAAAAAGACUAUUCUAUAUCAAUCGGUCAUCGCCUCCGCCUCGUAUCACUUCUGAACACGUAUCAGAGUAUUUUUUUCAAAAAGUUUCUUCUAAGCGUGAGACAAUGUAUCACUUCUGAACACGUAUCAGAGUAAAUCCAGGCCAUUGCAGUUUGCAACUUCUUCUUUCUUUUCCUGAUCCAAUUCUUACAGUUGUUGGUGAUCAUCCGCAAUUUCUUCCCAGUAUAUGUUCCCCUUGUAGCUCAAGCAAUAUCCGAAGGUAACUUUAGCUAUAAAUUUCGUUUGGUUUGGAAGUUCAAGAAAAAAUAGUCACUCUUAUGUCCAAAGUUAUUGACAGAAAUGAGGUGGUCUCAUUAACUAUGCUUUGAUACUAUGGACUACGGUCAAGAAUUUGAAGCUGUCUGGCAACAUUUACAAGUGAGAAUGGAACGGAUAAAUGAAAUCAAAAGUACCCAUUUGGACUGCACAAGAAAAACCUUUAUGACUGACGUUUUGAACUGUUCAUAUGAGGUAGUCACUGUUAACUCACAUCCACGUUCAAGAAAAGGAUGUGCUACAGUCUCCUAGCGGUGGCAAUUCCAUGAUUGUCCACCGAGGAUGCUUAUUAUUCUUAUUCGCAAGCAGUUCGUCUGAGAAAUUAACUCAGAAGCCUCGUAUUGUGCUUCUGCUCAACCAAAGAAAGAGAUCAGAAGUGGAGAUAGAAGAUCCAUGGAGCAGGACGAUCCCAAUUACCUCUUCCAGGCCUAAAUUGUAGAGUAAGUUGAUCUCUGUCAUAACCAAGUCUUGGCAGCGAUCUCCAAAGAGUUCCAUGCAUCUCGGCCAUGUAGUCGGCAACGAAGCGACGUGAUGGCAUUGAAUUCAGUGUACUCUCUGUGCAGUCACCUUACUCGGCAUCCAUGCAACCGUUCUUCCUUUAUUUUCAAAGAUAAUGAUUACUGAUUUCUUCGAGGGGAAGUGCUUCUAAAUGUGCUCGUGCAAUUGAUUCUCUUCUCAAUCGAUCUUGAUGUGCCAUGCGAUCAAACUCACAUUACGGUGUUCGUGAACAGACGUUGAAGAUCAUGGAAGGAGUAUUUUGUUUGCUGUGAUUGUGUGGAGAGAAACACACGAGGCAAGGGAAGUCCCUGUGUAGUCGGAGAAGGCAACGGAUGGCUUGGCUUUUUCUUCCCUGUAAAGGUGGAAGACGAGAUGGCCAGAUGAUCUAAUAUUAUAUUGCAGUGUUGCGUCUGUCCGUGGUUGUAGGAGUGUCCUACAAAAACAAUAACAGCUUGUUACUAAGACAUGUUCUAUAAACAAUCAAAACAAUUAAAUAUUACACGCAUUAUAUUAAGACCAGCAGAAAAUGUCUUACGUGAUUAAGUAAUUUAGUAUCUGAUAUGGGACUGACAUAUAAAUCAAAUUCUUUUAAAGUAGAAGAAUCUGAAAUAUUUUUUCUUUGUUUUUCUCAAAUAACCUAUUCAAUCUUAUUUCAUAUGCGAACCCAUUAGUUCAUCAAAUAAAAAUAUAGAUAAAUCUUUUGACUCUUAUAACAAUAUGAUCAAAUUUCGGAGUUAAACUUUUCAAAACUUUUAUAACAAUUAUAUGAUAAGGAAGAUGUACACCAUAAAAUUUUAUUUAACUAACAAUAUCAAUCACUUGUGAAAGAAAAUCUUACAUCGAUUCAUUAUUUUUCAUGAAUAAAUUUUAAAUUCACCACGAAGGGUUUAAAGUUUUACUGUAAUCACCCUUGUUGAGCCUUGAAAUUCAUUUUGAAGUAUCAAUCAAACUUGCUUUAAGGUUAUUGCUAUUGUAAUUCUUGAGAAAAUUAUUUCAUGUAUAGCUUGUUGAAUGAACAACAAUGCCUUUGAGUUCUUAUUUCUAUUCUUCCUCAGCCUGAUUUUUUUAUGUAGACCUACAUAUCCAUUCUCUAUUAAGUCCCAAAGAUCUUGAGACUUGAAUAAAAUAUUUAUCUUGAUACUCUAAAAUUCAUAGCAUUUGUCCGAGAAGAUGGAAAUAAGGGGUUGAGACAUAAAAUUAUUAUUAAAAGUCAUAAUACCCAAUUCGGAUUGAAAACUUAGCUAUGAUACCAUAAAUGUUGAGGAUGAAGGAAUAAGGAAAUGAUAAAAACAGAAUACUAUGAUAUAAUUAAAAAAAAUAUUUUGAUCAAGAAAAUCGUUGUAGUAUUUAAAUAAGAUAUAAGAUAUGAACACUUACAAGAUAUUCUCAAGUGCACACUCUUUAUCUUAUUUCAUGAAUUAAGGUCUUAUUUAUAGGACAUAGUGGUAACUACCUCACUCCAUCAUGUCACCCGUGAUUGAAUUAGGUGUAGAAACUACCUUAUAAUUUUUAGAUCAUGGGUCAUUAUUUAAAAUAUGUCCACAACUAUUUAAAACAUGAUAACUAUCUAGAUAACUACUAUGAAUCAUUAAUUUUACGUUACUGUUUUCUUCGAGCGGAAGUGCUUCUAAAUGUGCUCGUGCAAUUGAUUAUCUUCUCAAUCGAUCUUGGUGUGCCAUUCGAUCAAACUCACGGUAUGGUGUUCGUGAACAAACGUUGAAGAUCAUGGAAGGAGUUUUUUUUUUGCUUGCUUGACGUAAUUGUGUGGAGAGAAACACACGAGGCAAGGGAAGUCCCUGUGUGGCCGGAGAAGGCAACGGAAGAUCAAGUGCAAGACAACCGAUGGCUUGGCUUUUUCUUCCCUGUAAAGGUGGAAGACGAGAUGGAUAGAUGAUCUAAUAUUAUAUUGCAUUGUUGAGGGUAUCCAAUCAUUGUACAUCUGUCCGUAGCCGUAGGAGUGUCCUAAAAAAGCAAUAACAGCUUGUUACUAAGACAUGUUUUAUAAACAAUCAAAACAAUUAAAUAUUACACGCAUUAUAUUAAGGCCGGCAGAAAAUGACUACUACUUUUCGAUACUCUCUUGUGUUGUGCUUACGUGAUUAUAGUAUGAUAUGAGACUGACAUAUGACCAACACUUCAGUAACGUACGACCUACACCUCAACCGGAGGAUCUCAUCCAAGCAAUGCAUAGUAGGCACUUUGACACUCAACGGUAGGAAUCUAAAGCUCUUCAACCCCUAAUGUAUGGAAUUUGAGGUGACUUCGUAAUUUUCUUUUACAAAUUUUAAUAAAUAUAUAUUUCUCUCUAAAUAUUAUUAUCAUUCAAAUAAAUCCUUCACAUUAACGUUCUUUAAAAAGAAACCAAGAUAACCACAAUAAUCAUGGUUUUCUUCAAUUGACCAUUUGACUUCAAACCAAUUUUUAACAUAAAAUAUUUUAUAUAUCUUACUAUCUUAAUAAGGCUUGUAAAAUGUAUCAAUGUCGCUCUAAUGGUGAAAUAACAGACAUGGAGAAUAAUUUUACAGUCUCCAUAUAUAAAUAAAAAAAUCACUCUAUGUAUAAGAACACACAAAGGUAUAAUUACACUAAAAACAAUACAAUUAUCGAUGCCCCUCGCAAAAAUAUUUUAUAUCGGUUGUAUUUAAUCGGCUCACGUCGAUCAAGGUUUGUGUUUUGUCGUUAAAUCAAUCAAGUUGUCCAUUUGAUAUCAUUCAUUUACGUGCAUUUGUCCAUCAAAUAAUAAUAGUUGGACCAUGAGUUGGCUAUCUUAUCUUCCUGCCCAUCAAAACCCUUCCAUGAUGUGGCAUCGAAUAAACUUACGAUUAAAACAUGAUGAAUCAACCCUUACAAUUUAUAACAAAUAAUUGGACCGAUUCUUCCAAAUUUUAUAGUCCCAUCGUGAGGGAUGCAUGACCAAACAACCUCGCCCACAGCAUUUGACGCAGCCAUCACUAACCUUAUCGCUUUUAAAUGCAUAGUAUGGUAAAAAUAAUGAUAAUAAACUCGCGUCACAAGUUGAUAUUUUUAUUGGUUUUAGUCAAUUUCCACUUGAAGCACGUGAAUGACGUAAAUGACAUUACAGUUCGCAUUGCGUACGCAUCUAACUCUUUUGACUGGAAGCUCCUCCAAUUGCAUGUCCAUGAAUCAGAUAUGGAUGAUAUGGUACCACUUUUCCAUUGUCUUCCCACGCACAUCAUCCACGGUUUCCACACAGACUAGUAGAAGUAAAAUUGCCAACUCAUCUACCUCCAUCUAUCAAUAUAUUAUAUAAUCUCGUUCUUGCAUCGCGUGUUCUGCGACCAUCAACCGGAGACAUUAACAAUUAUGAGCCAUUCCAACACGUCUAAGUACACGUCAGAUUCAUCGGGAUGGCAUAAUCUCUUGAUAAGUCAAUGGGCUUUACCUCCCUUAUUUUAUCUGAAUUUUUUUCUGACUGUGUAAACAAAUUCACCUAUAUAUACAGACAUGCCCGGAUCAACUCUGGACAACCAUCAUGGCCGCCACCCACAUUGCCCUGUUCGUUUCCGGCCUUGCCGUCUUGCUUCUCCUCGUCCAAGGAUCGCCGCCAGGGCCUGUUGUCCAGUGCCGGUCUGGCAACACUAACUGCACCGUGACCAACGGCUAUGGAGCCUUUCCUGAUCGCAGUACCUGCCGCGUCGCCGCGGUCGCGUACCCUUCGAACGAACAGGAGCUCCUGUUAGCUGUCUCCGACGCCACCGUGAAGCAGCAGCACGUGAAGGCGGUCACGGUGUACUCACACAGCAUCCCCAAGCUGUCGUGCCCCGGCGGGCCGAGCGGCCAGGGCCUGGUAAUCAGUACCCAGCGCCUCAACAGAUCGGUGAGCGUGGACUUGGCCACCUCGCGGAUGACGUUCGAGGCAGGGAUCACACUUAGGGCGCUCCUUGACGCGGCGGCCGCCCGUGGCCUGGCGCUGCCCCACUCGCCGUAUUGGCAAGGGGUGACGCUGGGCGGGCUGCUGAGCACCGGCUCACACGGGAGCUCGGUGUUCGGGAAAGGCUCGGCGGUGCACGAAUAUGUGGUAGGGAUGAGGCUGGUGGUUCCAAGUCCGGUCCCGGUGAACGGAUCCUACGCCAAGAUCGUUAAUCUUGGUGAGGACGAUCCUGAUCUCUUGGCUGCCAAGGUUUCUCUCGGUGUUCUUGGAGUUAUUUCUCAGGUAUAUAUGCGGUGACCUACUUGUUAUUCUUUGUUCUUUACACGGUUUGAGAUCCAUGUGAUAACUCAUCUUAGUUCUUCACGGUGUUUCUUCCAACCACGUCGAGUACUUUCAUAAACUGAGUACAUGACUUGCUACGUCUCGAUGCUAAUUAGGUGCAACUCUAUAUUUAAUUGUUCAUUCUAUUGUUAGUAUCAAGACUUUGUUUGCACUACGUCAGCAAAAUGUCGAGACAAAAAAAAACUUGUUUUCAGUCAAAUCACUUUGCGAAGGAAGACUUGUUCUUUUCCUCCAAUAUAUAAAGUUAUGUAAAAUAAUUGGCAGUUGAUGAUCCCAAUGGACUUUAGUUUUAAUCUUCCCUUCUUUUCUUGCUUUGCUUGUAUUCCUUUUUUGAAAAUGGGCUAAUGCAAACGUUUGAAUCGUUCUAUUGAUUCCAUGUACCUUCCCUCCUAGUUUGUAGUAACUACAUAGCACAGUUGAGUGUUAUGGAACAUAUGAGCACAUUCAAACCCACAUGGACAAAGAUCAGAGAAAAAGCAAACUUAAAUGAGAGUGAAGGCAUGAUUUGAAGCCAUCAUUUUACAUCUAUGGUUGUUCCAUCUAGUUAUAUCUUAUAGAUGUAGAGUUUUUUUCUUGGAAGAACAGCUACAGUGACGUUGAUGAUGACUCGGGGUAAAUGAGAGUGCCCCUUCCUUCACAUAUGGAGCCUCGCGCAAGGCAAGAGGCAGGCAGGUCUACGCUGCCUUGCCUUGCAGAGCUUACGACCGGGCCCGCCAUUGCCUUAAAAGCCUCAGUAACAAUUAUUAGGUUGAAGGACGAUAGGGGAUGUCAGUAGUAGUAGUUCUUGUUUCAAUCUUGUUGCCUGAAUAGCUGAAAAGAGUUGGUUUGCAAUACAAGUAAGCUUUUGUUCUGCUGCUUCAUUAUAAGUAACCUAAGAAUUACUUGAACCGAUCGCGCAGGUCACCCUCCAACUUGAGCCGAUGUUCAAGCGAUCCAUCACCAACAGGGUCGUAAGCGACGUUGGCUUCGAGCAAACCAUCUCCUCGUACGCUGUCACUACUCACUAUGGAGACAUCAUCUGGUAUCCAUCACAAGGCAGAGUGGUGUAUCGAGAUGAUAUCAAGGUCCCCAUCACCACCAAAGGAAAGGGUGUAAACAACUUCUUAGGGUUCCGAGCGCAGCCCACCCUUGUCAUAGCCUCUACACGUGCUUCAGGUGUUAUAAAUUGCAGCUUUUAUUUUGCUUGACAAUCUUGAUGUAGUGUUCGAGUAGUAUCGUACUUGAUUUAUACUAACAAGGCAUCUCUUGUCCUCUACGAUGUGUUUGUGUUUAUGACUGCAGAGGAACUAUCGGAACUAACAGGAAAUGCCGAAGGCAAAUGCGUGCUGUCCAGAUUGCAAGCGGAUACUCUGAUUGCGACCGGCAUGGGCCUUAAGAACAAUGAUGGCGGCUUGUUAGAUUUCACCGGCUAUCCGGUCGUUGGAAACCAAAGCGACAUGCAAUCCGCUGGUAGGUCCUCAAAUUAUUCCAGGAAUGUAUAUAAUGACACAUGUAACACCUGAAUUAUUUAGUCUGAGUCAUCUUCUCUCCAGGUUCAUGCCUACGGAGUGCAGAAGACAAACUUCUCACGGCUUGUGGAUGGGACCCUCGUUUUGCGGGGCUCUUCUACCACCAAUCCGCGAUAAGCAUCCCCUUCACCACCAUCGCUGACUUCAUCGCCGACGUCAAGAAGCUCCGCGACGCCCACCCCAACGCACUCUGCGGCACCGAGCUGUACUUGGGCUUCUUCAUGCGCUUCGUCCGCAGCUCCACAGCCUAUCUUGGCAAAACCGACGACGUGGUGGACAUCGACAUCACUUACUAUCGUUCCAAGGAUCCAAAACGGCCGCGACUCUACGAGGAUGUGAUCGAAGAGAUCGAACAGUUGGCCUUGUUCAAGUACAAUGGGUUGCCCCACUGGGGGAAGAAUAGAAACGUCGGCUUCCUCAAUAUCAAGAACAAGUUGGGGGCCAAGCUGGACAAGUUUGUGAGUGCCAUGCAAAAAUAUGACAGCAAUGGAUUGUUCUCUUCAGAUUGGACCGAUGCGGUGCUGGGACUGCGUGGGAAGGAAGUUGUGGUGCAGGGAAAUGGUUGCGCAUUGGAGGGGUUGUGCAUUUGCUCCACUGAUGACCACUGUGCUCCUAAACAGGGCUAUUAUUGUCGACCUGGAGAAGUCUAUGAUCAGGCUCGAGUGUGCCGGAAGAUUAAAUCCGUUGAAGCUGAUGGUCAGGCAGACAGCUUGUGAUACCGUUCACAUUCAUUUGCUGUAAGGUUUGUAUCGGUGUCACUUCCUCUUUGAACAGACGAUGUAAUGCCAGUCAAUAAUUACUACAUAAUUUAAUAUUGUAAUUUUAAAGCAAUGAUCAAUAAAUGUAAUAUUGUAUGGGAGUCAGAUUACGUUCCUCCUGAUAUUAUUUAAGCAACACUUCCAUUAUUAAUGCUAUAAUGUCGAGAGACAGUACGUUAAUGCAAUCUUCGCUUCCAUUUCUUAAAUAAUAAUAAUAAUGAUAUUAUAUUUUAUCUAGAAAAAUUCUCACAAUUGAGCUUUUACAAAAUGAUGCCCUGUAAAUAAUUUUUAUGUGGGACAUCUUUCAUAUUAAAUUGAUGAAACUACCCUCUGUCCUCCACGAGUCCCCUCCGUCGCCCCUGCUCUCACCGCGAAUGGUGUCGUCCGUCCUCCCUUCCCCCACCUCCCUAGCCGCCCGCCCCUUCUCGCUGGUGGCCUGCCAUGGGCGACGAUCGCACGGGUGUCGCAGGUGAGGGUUGCGACGAAAGGGCCGCUUCGGAUGGCGAGUAGUGGCUGAAUCGAUGGCGUAGCGAUGGGAGAUGGCCUCGUGGGUGACGCACCACGGUACCUAGCGACGGGAUCCGCCCUCUCGUCCUCGCUAUUCGCGACGAGGUUGUCGCGUUUUCCCUCGACAUUCAUGACCACGAGUUGGUCACUCGCGACACAAAACGGAGAAUUGGCUGCGGAUAGCUGUUGCUGGCCGCGGCAAGGAUGAGAAAGACAGGCGACGAGGGAUUGAAGAUGGCGAUGAAGACGGGGAGUGGUGGACGGCGAGGCGAGCAAAGCCGCGGAUGCGAUCGGGGGAGGAGGAGGAGGAAGGGAGGGGAAGGGGAAGGUAGAUGGCGACGGAUGACGCUGCACGUGGUAGGAGCGAGCGUAGAACCGACGAUUGAUGAUUAGUGUAAUUACGCUACGAUGAUGAUGUAAUAAUAAUAUAACGAGAUUUAAAAUGGGCAUAUAUCGAUAAACAUUAAUUUUCUUUCUUUAUUUAGGUCACGUCCUAACUACAGGUGUAUUAAACUCGGUGCCUUCGCCACAGAGCUAACUGGUGGAGGGGCAGAAGGUAAUGGUGUAGUCUGCGGCGCCCGAGGCGCACGUGAACGUGCUCGUGGCGUCGUCGUAGGCGUAGCUGUACGCCGCCGGGCACGCCGCCUUGAAGAGCUGCGAGUAGCGCGUCGGCCCGCACGUCGUCGGGGAGCCGUGGGCUCCCGUGCAACAGUACUCUGGGGAUCCGAACGCCUCGCACGCGCUCCGGCACGCCAUCGUCUCCCCGGACUCCGACGCCACCCGCAGCUCCGCCGGGCACCGCGCGUUCACGUCCGCCACGCACCCCGCGUACCGGCAGCUGCCCCCCACGGCCGCCCCGGAGGGGCGCACCCCGAUGCCAACGUUGUAGCCGUCGACCAAGCUCACGUCGUAAAAGUCCUUGGCGCCGUCACCGCCGCCGAGGGUGAACUCGGCGAGACUUACCGGCGGGGCGCCACCGAUAGAGCAGCGGAGGGCCCCACCGCAGUCACCGGUGGCGCAGGACCCGUUGGCAGAGGAGGAGUCGAAUAGGCAGCUGGUACGGGCCCAGAAGCGGCCGGACCAGCCAGGUGGGCCGGAGAAGGAGCUGGUGGCGUUGGGUGGGAGCUCGAAGCUGCCAUUACCAAGGAGGACGGCGCCGUUGCCGGACAAUGCGCCGGGCCAUACGGUAUACGGACAAUUGUUCUCGAGGAUGAAGGCGGUGCCAGCACCCGCCGCCGCCGGUGCCCGUAACGCCCCUGCUUCAAUUUAACAGAUAAAAGAAGAAGUAGGCGCUUUGCGCGGAAAUGCUUAAACUUGUGGGUUAAUCAGGCGCUUACCUGAGAAGAGGAAUGUUCCGAGGCCGAGGAGGAACAAUUUCAGCAGGAAAGCCGCCAUGACGAGGCACAGCGAGUCGUGAGUCCGUUGCCGGUAGCUGAUUGCUCAGGUAAAUGUGGUUGGGAUGUAAGUGUGUCCUUCACGAAUCUCAAAGUAUGUUGUGAAGAUCCGCUAAAAGAUCUCCACACGUCGUGCAUGAUGUGACAAUUGGCACCCCACUCGGUGUUUUAUAGAGAGCUCCCUAUAAAAUUUCUUCUGGUGCAAAUUGGUAGAGUUUGUCACGAUUUGGGGUCUAUUGUCUCUUCUCAAUUUGAAAUUUGUCCAAUAUGUCUUGGACGAUCCGUGGAAGGUUUACCUGACAAGGAGAGUAUCCGAUUUGGAGUGACUUUUCUUGAGAUAUGAUAAGUUUAAGCCUCCAAGAAAGCAAGAUUGAGGUAUUUGUUCCCGAAUAUUUGAUCAUCCAACUAAACCUUAAUUGCCUUAUGAUAGAUCAUAUUCAUUGCUUCACGUUGAAUUAAAUGCCAAACUUACACAUCGCUCCAUUUGCUAUGCCCUUCUUGUGUGCAUUGGGAUAGUUCUCCUUUCUGGUCACCUAAUGUCUUCCUUCCUGGAUACUUAAGCUGUGUCUCAAGCAUCUCACGAGAAUGGAGGUUCACCGAGAUGCAUCCUUCGGAGGGGCGUUCGCAUACUAAGAACGGAUGAGCCUGACGUGGGGAGAUAGGCUUUACGUUGAGGUGCAUGGCUGUGGUAAUGGCUUUCUCGUUUGGGCGACACCUCUCCCUGCAGCGCGACCUGCGUGAAUUCUGCAGUUCAAGUCGGUGACGGUUGAGCUCCAUGCACGAGCACCACAAUGUACGUGUGCUCACCGUCAUGAAUCCUGCACCGUCCGUUUCAUGAAUCUUCGUGUCAUCCGUCGGAUCGGACGGCCAGCUGGUCUCCUCUGUCAGGUAAAAUAUGCGUCGGGGUUGUCUCUCCCAAAAGGAGCUGUUGGUCAUAUGUUUGCCUCACGUAAUGCCAUCACUUUAAGAACAUGAGAAGAAGGCAACCAAAGGAUAUUUCAAAAGGGAUGCUGAUCGAUCUUCGCUUUGUCUUCUGCUAAGCUGCCUUUGCCAAAGCAUGGUGAUGCAUUUCACCACCAACUGUCCACCUAAUAUUGGAGCAGAAUUUGGUGACUGCUCAACUAUUUUUUACUCCUCUUUCUCAUCGGACUCGUACGUUUGGUUGAAAAGUCAUCUUAGGGGGGUAUAAUGCUUGACGAGCUCUUGAGGUAUAAUCUUCGAGAAAACUAGUGUUCUAAAAAAUAUAUAUGUAUCAAAACAAAUUAUACCUUUUAGAAUUACCAAAUUCAGGUGUUUUGGACGAGCACAAUACGUCGACCUCAGAUUGACUUCAACUUACUAUUCAACAUGUACAAUCAAAUUUUUACUUAGCAAAUUAGUACGUUGACUUAUUCCAUGCAUUUGGUUCUGUCUGCGGCUUGGUUUUCGCCGCCACCUAAUGGACAGACACCAAAUAGUUCGUAGCUCAGCCAAGUCAUGUCUUUUGGAGAGAGAGAGAGAGAGAGAGAGAGAGAAUGUGGUCGUUGAGAAAAUCGAGUGCGAAGGGCAUAGAAGGCCAAUUAACAAGUCAAGCGGCCAAAUGCAUGUUGAGAACAAAAGUCAAACUUGGUUUCAGCAAAGGGUGGUCUGCGGCGGAUAUCACAAGAAAAAGAUGCAUAACGUCAAUUAAAAAUAAGUCUUUUAGCCAUUGAAGGUGCAAUUUGGAACAAAAGUAUUUAUUAAUUAUAGGAAAGAAGGCCGUCAUGAUAAAAAAGAUUUCAAAAAUCUCGCCAGUAUGUAUAUAUAUAAUAAUGACCUUAUGCAACAUCUCAUGUUUAAUAUUUAAUUUAAGAAUCUAAUUGUAAAUAUAAAUAUUACAGGAAUUAAAAUGUAACAAAGUCAAAAAGAAAAAAGGAAAAAAGAAAAUUUUCUUCCGCACCGCCUCUCCCUUCUCUUGAGAGGGGCUUCGGGUGAGAAAGGAGCAGAAGGAAGAUAGAAACAAUAAAGAAGAGAAGAAGAUGAAUAGAGGGUAAAAAAGAAAGGGAGAAGAGGCGGAGAAGAGAAGAAGAAGAAGGAAAAGAGAAAGGAAAGAAGAAGAAAAAGUAGAGGAUCGGUCGUGAGACCAGAGAGGAUAAAAAACAAAGAGAACAAAAAGAAUGGAAGAAGGAGAGGAAAAGAAGGAAAGGAGAAGGGAAAGAAGAGUAAAAAAAAGGGUUGGUGCAAGUGACAUGGACCAGAGGAAAGCAAAAAAAAAAAAUGGUGGAUUGGAUUUGAGAUCAGAUGAAUCUAAAAAUUAUAUGAGGUAUGGUUUUGAAUUCUCUUUAAUUCUUAUUAAUUAGAUUUAUAUUUUAGAUUAUAAAUUGAGAAAUUUUGUUAAUUGGACACCUAUACAUCGAAGAGCAUAAAAGAUAAAUAAUAAUAAUUUUAGAAGAAAAAAAAUCAGAAUAUAAGUUACGGAAGAUAUGCGAUCAAACUCUCUAAUCUGUUUUCAAAGAUAUUAAUGCGUGUGUUGUAUGAUUAAUAAAAUAUGGGUAUUAAUCUAAGAAAAAAAAAGGGUAGCAUUUCUAUUCAGUGGAGAUAUGUACAGAUGAACUGUAUUUAUAAUAUCCUUUUGGAACACCUACAAUCGCUCUCAUCUCCGUUGUGUCUUUUCUCAGUAGAUAAAGACAUGAGUGUCGAGUCAAUCUUUCCAACCCGUCGAUGUACAUCCGAUGAGAGCACGAAGCAGCUUCUCAGAGUUCCUCGCGCCCACAGACGAGCACAAACCUCCUGGUGGCCGCACACGGUAUUUGAGCCUGCUGUUUCCCCGGCGUGAGUGAAUUGAAUUGGGAGGAUUGCCUCUUCGCGUGCCUCAAAGGUCGUCAACGGUGCCUCAGCGUCAUGCUAUAUAUAACAAGCCCUCUCUUGGUCCCUGUACCAUCGACCACCAACAACGUCAGCGACUUGCGGUUCUCCAACGAGCGAAGCUAAUCGAGGAAAGCGAUCCAGAAUAGAAGAGAUGGCUCAUUCCGGUGCUGCCGAAGUCUUCACGGAAGAGCAGGAGGCGCUUGUGCUGAAAUCAUGGAACGUGAUGAAGAAGGACUCAGCCAACCUGGGGCUAAAGUUGUUCUUGAGGUACUACGACUAUUCCUCGCUCUGUGGCCAAUGGACCCCAACCGUGUUGCUGGUCAUUGAGCAUGUCUUAUUCUCAGGAUCUUCGAGAUUGCCCCGUCAGCAACUCGACUCUUCUCCUUCCUACGUGACUCCGAUGUGCCAUUGGACAAGAACCCAAAGCUCAAGCGCCACGCCAUGUCCGUCUUCGUCAUGGUACCUCUCAUCUUUCUUCCUUUAUGUACGCAUACAUUGUCAUGCAUCUGCAGAAAGCCGUUGCUCAAACUUUCGUAUUCUCCUCAGACAUGCGAAUCCGCGGUGCAACUGCGGAAAGCCGGGAAGGUCACGGUGAAGGAGACGACUCUUAAGAGGCUCGGUGCAAGCCAUUUCAAAUACGGUGUAGUAAAUGAACACUUUGAGGUAAUAGAUUCUGCUAGCAGUUUUUGUGAUCUCAGAUCAUUUGCUCAUAAAUUCAAUGACAUACAUUAAAGUUCAGCAAACAACAAGUCAAACAAGGUUCAGUGCAAACCGAUGACUGCAACUUUUGUUUAAUGCAUGGUGCAGGUUACGAGGUUUGCUUUGUUGGACACAAUAAAGGAGGCGGUGCCGGACAUGUGGUGCCCUGAGAUGAAGGCGGCAUGGGGAGAGGCUUAUAACAAGCUUGUUGCAGCUAUCAAGGAAGAAAUGAAGCCCAUUCCUUCCCCAUAGAAUUUAAUUCUCUCUCCUUGUUCUGUGGGCAAACCGGAAAUAAGAGGGCGUCAUGUGUGCUCGUACGUGUAGUUUAGUUUACCUUACAGUAUGUUCUGUGCCCAAUCUUUCUCCCAGUCAUCGGAUUGCGUCUGUAAACCAACGUACUUUUCUAGUAUACAUCUCAUUUCGAAUCAUAAAUUAUAGGACAGUUCUUUUUAUCCUCAUAAUGCCGCUAAAUUAAUUGAGGAAUACAUUACGAUGAGGGAGAGAGAUUCUCAAAUAUUAGAUUUUCAGGAAUGUUUUCAUCAUGAUUUUUUUUAUCAUAUAUCGUAAAAUUAAAUAUAAUUAAAAUAUUUUAAUUGUACGUAAGAAACUGAUCAGAAUAUGCACCGAUCUAAAGGAGGCAGAGGAGACAACUGCCUAUAUCAAUCUCAAUUACUUCAACUUCGGCCGAGGAAGAUCGCACUGUCGAGAAUUGGAUAAUAGAUCAGCCGGUAGAGAGGCGACCACAGUGGGUCCGCUGGCAGAGUAGCAGCGGCGAGGGUCCGCCGGCAAAAUAGCAACGGCGAUGGGCCGCUGGCUUGCGAGGAAGUUGACAGGCAGAUGGCAAACGGAGGGGCGACCACAGUUGGCGACCCCCGAGGACGAGGAGGCUGAGAGGAGGUGGCGGGUGCUCAGCCUGCUUCUGUGCAACAGCCGAGAGGAGGCGGCGGGCCUCCGGCUGUCUGAAAGCUGGAGGGCAGGAACUCCGCCGGAGCUCCGCUGGAGGAAGCGGAGGAAGGGACGCUGAGGGCAGCGUAGCAGUUCGGAGAGGACGCUGUUGUUGCCGCCAACGGCAGUGAGAGAUGAUUUUAUUCCGCUCGGAGCAGUGAUCGGCAAGGUGCGGCGGUUGGUGAGGAAGAAGAGGGAGAGCCUCGCCGGAGUUCCACGGACACUGCGCCUUGAUGCUAAACAACCGAGGUCAACACCGCUCGCCGAAGAGGAACUCGCAGCGGCAGAUCUAAGUCCCGGAUCGCCGGCCAACAGGGAAGGGGGGACUUUGCCGGUGAAGAGGAACUGCUUCGCCGACAUAGAGCACCUUCGCCAGUGAGGAAGAACGGGCGGGCACUUCGCCGAGACGAGGUUGCUCGGAGAAAACCGACAACGGCAGAUUAGCAGAGAUGAGGGACUGCCUUCGUCGGACGGCGACGAAGGGAAGCGGUUCUGAGAGCACUAUGUGAGAAGAAGGGGAGCGCUGUGUUGAUGGCUGCAGGAGGGAGCGGCGGUCGACGAGGCAGAGGUGCCAAGGCCUAAAGCGAAAAAAUGGGAGGAGCAGGUGCGGUGGGCGCCGAGGGCGAGGCGGCCAACGCGGCGCUCGGUGCAGAGAUGAGCGCUUGGGGCAGAGAGCAGUAUUCGAUGGAGUUGCAGCGUCGGAGAAGACGCCGACGUAGUAGGGAGGAGAAGGAGGCUGUUGAUAAGGGUAAAAAUGGCAACAUGACACGCCCUGAUGUCAGCCAUGCCUGGACAACACACUGCCCUAGGAAAUGGGCAUUAACGCCGACUUGAUAUGCGCCAGCGUCACCCGCUCCCAGUCAACGACUCCACCGUCUGACCCCGCGCGCUCAGUCGAGGCAGAGGAGGACGUCGACCGAGGCUCGCCCAUACCCUGCGGCAGUCGGUUCUCCAUGCAACCCCAGUGGCAAUGUCAGACGCCAUCGGAGGUACGGUCCUGCUCCUGCAGGCAGCCACAUCAGGUAACAUCAAACUCAUCUAUAAAUACCCCAGAGUUCUAGACGAACGAGGGAGAGGAGAAAACACAGACACAACACUUAUAUGGAGGUAUUUUCCUCCUCCUAAACCCCCUCCACA
rnacentral:lncRNA from 1 species